rnacentral:rRNA from 1 species
CCUACGGGAGGCAGCAGUGGGGAAUAUUGGGCAAUGGGCGCAAGCCUGACCCAGCAACGCCGCGUGAAGGAAGAAGGCUUUCGGGUUGUAAACUUCUUUUCUCAGGGACGAAGAAAGUGACGGUACCUGAGGAAUAAGUCACGGCUAACUACGUGCCAGCAGCCGCGGUAAUACGUAGGUGGCAAGCGUUAUCCGGAUUUAUUGGGUGUAAAGGGCGUGUAGGCGGGAGCGCAAGUCAGAUGUGAAAACGCAGGGCUCAACCCUGAUCCUGCAUUUGAUACUGUGUUUCUUGAGUACUGGAGAGGCAAUCGGAAUUCCGUGUGUAGCGGUGAAAUGCGUAGAGAUACGGAGGAACACCGGUGGCGAAGGCGGAUUGCUGGACAGUGACUGACGCUGAGGCGCGAAAGCGUGGGGAGCAAACAGGAUUAGAUACCCCGGUAGUC